GAUGAACGCUGGCGGCAUGCCUAAUACAUGCAAGUCGAACGAAUCACUUCGGUGGUUAGUGGCGAACGGGUGAGUAACACGUAGGUAAUCUACCCUUUAGACGAGGAUAACGGUUGGAAACGACCGCUAAUACUGGAUAGUACAUUUCAUCGCAUGAAGAAAUGUUUAAAGUUCCGUUUGGAUCACUAAAGGAGGAGCCUGCGGCGCAUUAGUUAGUUGGUGAGGUAAUGGCCCACCAAGACGAUGAUGCGUAGCCGGACUGGGAGGUUGAACGGCCACAUUGGGACUGAGACACGGCCCAGACUCCUACGGGAGGCAGCAGUAGGGAAUUUUCGGCAAUGGGGGAAACCCUGACCGAGCAAUGCCGCGUGAAUGAUGAAGUAUUUCGGUAUGUAAAAUUCUUUUAUAGAGGACGAAUGUUACUGGGAGGAAAUGCCCAGUAAGUGACGGUACUUUAUGAAUAAGCCCCGGCUAACUAUGUGCCAGCAGCCGCAGUAAAAC
rnacentral:rRNA from 1 species